UGCUGAUACGGCGGCCACAUACUAAAAAUUGGGACGAUAACAGAGAGAUUAGCAUGGCCCCUGCGAAAGGAUGACAGACAAAUCCGUCAAGGAUCCAUCUUUUUU